UCAGUUGUGAAAGUUUGCGGCUCAACCGUAAAAUUGCAGUUGAUACUGGAUAUCUUGAGUGCAGUUGAGGCAGGCGGAAUUCGUGGUGUAGCGGUGAAAUGCUUAGAUAUCACGAAGAACUCCGAUUGCGAAGGCAGCCUGCUAAGCUGCAACUGACAUUGAGGCUCGAAAGUGUGGGUAUCAAACAGGAUUAGAUACCCUGGUAGUCCACACGGUAAACGAUGAAUACUCGCUGUUUGCGAUAUACUGCAAGCGGCCAAGCGAAAGCGUUAAGUAUUCCACCUGGGGAGUACGCCGGCAACGGUGAAACUCAAAGGAAUUGACGGGGGCCCGCACAAGCGGAGGAACAUGUGGUUUAAUUCGAUGAUACGCGAGGAACCUUACCCGGGCUUAAAUUGCAGAUGAAUUACGGUGAAAGCCGUAAGCCGCAAGGCAUCUGUGAAGGUGCUGCAUGGUUGUCGUCAGCUCGUGCCGUGAGGUGUCGGCUUAAG
rnacentral:rRNA from 1 species